rnacentral:piRNA from 1 species
UAAUGGAAGAGAACGGUCCGGUUUCCCAUUA